GCGGCGGACGGGUGAGUAACGCGUGGGUAACCUGCCCAUAAGACUGGGAUAACUCCGGGAAACCGGGGCUAAUACCGGAUAACAUUUUGAACUGCAUGGUUCGAAAUUGAAAGGCGGCUUCGGCUGUCACUUAUGGAUGGACCCGCGUCGCAUUAGCUAGUUGGUGAGGUAACGGCUCACCAAGGCAACGAUGCGUAGCCGACCUGAGAGGGUGAUCGGCCACACUGGGACUGAGACACGGCCCAGACUCCUACGGGAGGCAGCAGUAGGGAAUCUUCCGCAAUGGACGAAAGUCUGACGGAGCAACGCCGCGUGAGUGAUGAAGGCUUUCGGGUCGUAAAACUCUGUUGUUAGGGAAGAACAAGUGCUAGUUGAAUAAGCUGGCACCUUGACGGUACCUAACCAGAAAGCCACGGCUAACUACGUGCCAGCAGCCGCGGUAAUACGUAGGUGGCAAGCGUUAUCCGGAAUUAUUGGGCGUAAAGCGCGCGCAGGUGGUUUCUUAAGUCUGAUGUGAAAGCCCACGGCUCAACCGUGGAGGGUCAUUGGAAACUGGGAGACUUGAGUGCAGAAGAGGAAAGUGG
rnacentral:rRNA from 1 species